rnacentral:lncRNA from 1 species
GACGAACCAGGUACCUCAGUUGGAAAUGCAGAAAUCACUCAUCUUCUGCGUCAGUCACACUGGGAGCUGCAGACCGGAGCUGUUCCCAUUUGGCCAACUUGGAACGGAAUCCCUGCAUUUCUUAUAAGGGCAGUCUGCUGCAGACCAUGAUGGGACCUGCUGCAUUAAUGACACUGAUAGCCUCCAUCCUUCCUUGUUUCUAGCCAUGACCAGACUUCUCAGAUAUUGGGUUAUCAGAGCAUGGGCCCAUCAGUCAUGAUGAUGGAUUUAUGGGUGAAGAGAUAUCUUGGAAGGAGAUAUGAACCUUCAUCUCUUUGUCAGCAUCUCUGGACAUUGGAACCAGUUCUUUCAGUGUGCAUAGCAGCCAUCAAAAAGAACAAAAUAAUGGCAUUCCCAGCAACCUGGAUGGAAUUGGAAACAAUUAUUCUAAACGAAGUAACUCAGGAAUGGAAAACCAAACAUCGUAUGUUCUCACUCAUAAGUGGAAGCUAAGCUAGGAGGAUGCAAAGGCAUAAGAAUGAUACAAUGGACUUUGGGGAUUUGAGGGAAAGAGUAGGGGGGAGGUGUGGGAUAAAAGACUACCAAUUGGUUACAGUGUAUACUGCUCGGGUGAGAGGUGCACCAAAAUCUCACAAAGCACCACUAAAGAACUUGUGUAAAUGAACACCACCUGUUCCUCAAAAACAUAUGGGAAUAAAAAUAAAUAAAUAAAUAAAUAAGACACUCAAAGCCCUUGUCUUCGUCAAGCUUGUGAGUUAGUCAGCUAGGCAGAUAAGAUAAAAAUAAUGUAAAUGAGUUACUUAGAAUAAAAAAUAAAUCAGGGCAAGGGAGUAGAGAGUGACAAGGGA